UACGGAGGGUGCAAGCGUUAUCCGGAUUUACUGGGUUUAAAGGGUGCGUAGGUGGGUAGGAAAGUCAGUGGUGAGAUCUUCGGGCUUAACCCGGAAACUGCCAUUGAUACUAUUUAUCUUGAAUACUUUGGAGGUAAGCGGAAUAUGUCAUGUAGCGGUGAAAUGCUUAGAUAUGACAUAGAACACCAAUUGCGAAGGCAGCUUACUACACAGUUAUUGACACUGAGGCACGAAAGCGUGGGGAGCGAACAGG
rnacentral:rRNA from 1 species